CAGCAGCCACGGUAAUACGAAGGGGGCUAGCGUUGUUCGGAAUCACUGGGCGUAAAGCGCACGUAGGCGGAUACUUAAGUUAGGGGUGAAAUCCCAGGGCUCAACCCUGGAACUGCCUUUAAUACUGGGUAUCUUGAGUUCGAGAGAGGUAAGUGGAAUUCCGAGUGUAGAGGUGAAAUUCGUAGAUAUUCGGAGGAACACCAGUGGCGAAGGCGGCUUACUGGCUCGAUACUGGCGCUGAGGUGCGAAAGCGUGGGGAGCAAACAGGAUUAGAUACCCGAGUAGUCCCUGUCUCUUAUAC
rnacentral:rRNA from 1 species